GACCAGGUUGGUCUCAAACUCCUGGCCUCAAGGGAUCUCCCACCUUGGCCUCCCAAAGUGCUGGGAUUAUAGGCGUGAGCGACUGCGCCCGGCCCACAUACAUACUGUCUGUUAGAGUCGUGACAGGUCUUCCCGAUCAAUCUGUUUCUCAUAUGUACAUUUUCUUUCUUUUGUUCUUUAGUUACAUGGUGAUGAAUUUUGUCCUGUUUUGGAUGCAACAUUUGUAAUGGUGGCUCGUGAUUCUGAAAAUAAAGGGCCGGCAUUUGUAAAUCCACUCAUCCUUGAAAGCCCAGAGGAAGAGGAGCUCUUUAGACAAGGAGAAUUGAACAAGGGGAGAAGAAUUGCCUUCAGUUCCACGUCGUUACUGAAAAUGGCCCCCAGCGCUGAGGAGAGGACCACCAUACAUGAGAUGUUUCUCAGCACACUGGAUCCAAAGUAAGGAUGGUGAGAUUCCAAGUU